rnacentral:tRNA from 1 species
AUAGUAGUUUAAUUAUAACAUUUGAUCUGCAAUCAAAAAGUAUUGUAUUACAAUCUAUCUUA